rnacentral:rRNA from 1 species
GACGAACGCUGGCGGCGUGCUUUAUACAUGCAAGUCGAACGAUGAAGUUCCUUCGGGAAUGGAUUAGUGGCGAACGGGUGAGGAACACGUGAGAAACCUGCCUUUCAUUCUGGGAUAACACCGGGAAACCGGUGCUAAUACCGGAUACUCCGUCUUGGCGGCAUCGCCGAGCCGGGAAAAAAUUUUGAUGAAAGAUGGUCUCGCGGCCUAUCAGCUAGUUGGUGAGGUAAAGGCCCACCAAGGCGACGACGGGUAGCCGGACUGGGAGGGCGACCGGCCACACUGGGACUGAGACACGGCCCAGACACCUACGGGAGGCAGCAGUAGGGAAUAUUGGGCAAUGGGCGCAAGCCUGACCCAGCGACGCCGCGUGAGGGAUGAAGGUCUUCGGAUUGUAAACCUCUUUCAGUAGGGAAGAAGCGAAAGUGACGGUACCUAAAGAAGAAGCACCGGCUAACUAUGUGCCAGCCGCCGCAGUAA